GAAUUAAUAACACUAUUGCAGCAAUUUUUGCUCCACCUACUUUUGAUAAAUGACAAAUUUUCAGAAAAUAAAUAGAUACAUACACAGUAAGAACACUCAUGUCAUUCUUAAGUUAACUAAUUGGCAAAUUCCUAUUUAUCAGAAGAAAAUUAACAAUAAAAUCAGCCAAUCUCGUACCACACAACGAUGGGCUCCGGGGACAGCAUAAACAAAGUGUAAAAAGCCCGAGACUUACACUGUAAAGUCUUAUUAUUAAACUAUAAAGUCUUAAGAAUAAUGUCUAAAUAAGUACAUUUCAUAUUCCUCUUUCUUGAAGUGCUUCUCGCAAACAUACAACGUCCCAUUUUUGAUUUGCCUUCGCAAAUUUUCAUCCACUACGCGGUCUUUUGUAAUUAUGUUGCUCCACGCUUCACGAGUUUUCGUUGAUAAUGCGUCUUUUCCUGAAGGGAUCCGAAAAAUUCCAACUCCAGCACUAUUUCGACAUGUACCACAGCCGAUAUGGAGCAAUUCGCUCCCGGCAUCGCGGAAAAUUCAAUGAAAUUUAAUGUUUUUAGGCUCUGUUUGGC